GUCGGUUUUUCACUUUCUUUGCUCUCAAAAUCAUUGAAGUUCAUUGUUUUCUGUAUGCUAAAAACGAUUUAGUGCAUCCUCAAGCUUCAAUUGUAGAGGUCGAGAUGUUUUCAUCACUUAAUGGAAAAGUUGCGAGUAGGACUUUCGUUGAUGCAAUACCACACAUUAGGCGAUGAAGUUGCAUGUACUCACCUAGAUUGAAGCUGAUCCUAACACAAGUCUUUGUGUCGUAAGUGGCUUGCAUAAUUGAUUUUGAGCCUUCAGAUGAGGAGCGUGCAUAAAUGAGUUGAACUGGAUUUUUCGACCAUUGAAGGUUAUGGUGGACAAACAGGACACAUGCUUUGGUUACUAUACAAGAUGUAUCCUAUCCUAUCCUAAUUCGUAGAUUUAUCAUUGGUGUUUUAAGUAUGUGACUUUCACUAGGUGAUAAGACAUGGCUAUGCGUUAAAGAUGCUCGCUAUGUCUACGUGUUGUUAUUUAUAAUGAUAGUCUGUAUUGAGUACAAGUCUUCCUCUUGUUUGUCUAAGUGUAAA